AUUUAUUAUGUAAAACAUUAAUAUGAUAAACAAAGAAUAGACAUCGAGAUUCCAAGAACAACACGAAGUUCAAAACAAAACUCAUCCAAAUUUAAGGAGGAAAACACUCAUAAUAAAAUCCCCAAACGAUCCUGACUAUCUUCAAUGCUAAAAUUGAUUUUUGACUUUGAAAAAGAUUCUGAAGCUGAUGCAAAGAUGGAAACUUUCUUCACUCCAGCUGCAACAGCUGCUUCAAAAC
rnacentral:misc_RNA from 1 species